rnacentral:rRNA from 1 species
GACGAACCGUGCGAACGUUGUUCGGAAUCACUGGGCUUAAAGGGCGCGUAGGCGGGCAGCCAAGUCUGGGGUGAAAUCCUCCGGCUUAACCGGAGAAUUGCUUGAGAUACUGGUUGUCUUGAGGGAGGUAGGGGCACGCGGAACUUCCGGUGGAGCGGUGAAAUGCGUUGAUAUCGGAAGGAACGCCGGUGGCGAAAGCGGCGUGCUGGCCCUCUUCUGACGCUGAGGCGCGAAAGCCAGGGGAGCGAACGGG